rnacentral:rRNA from 1 species
AACGAACGUUGGCGGCAUGCCUAACACAUGCAAGUCGAACGAAGUCUUCGGACUUAGUGGCGCACGGGUGCGUAACGCGUGGGAAUCUGCCCUUGGGUACGGAAUAACUCAGAGAAAUUUGUGCUAAUACCGUAUAAUGUCUUCGGACCAAAGAUUUAUCGCCCAAGGAUGAGCCCGCGUAAGAUUAGCUAGUUGGUGGGGUAAAAGCCUACCAAGGCGACGAUCUUUAGCUGGUCUGAGAGGAUGAUCAGCCACACUGGGACUGAGACACGGCCCAGACUCCUACGGGAGGCAGCAGUGGGGAAUAUUGGACAAUGGGCGAAAGCCUGAUCCAGCAAUGCCGCGUGAGUGAUGAAGGCCCUAGGGUUGUAAAGCUCUUUUACCAGGGAUGAUAAUGACAGUACCUGGAGAAUAAGCUCCGGCUAACUCCGUG